ensembl:lncRNA
CCCACUGGUGAGACUGCUAGCACUGGCUGUAUCACUCUUUGUUAUGGGGCAGGUGCCUCACAAAUCUUGGCAGUGAUUUCUGCAUGCACGUUGCUUGUCCCGUAAUGUAACACAAAAGCUACAACUGAAGAGGAAAAGGGAGCAAGAAGGGGUGAUUUUCACACCAGCAGCAAUCACUUCCCAUUAAAGCCUACCACAGUGAUGUUGUUGAGGGUUGUGGGUGCAUGAGAGAAAAAGCUUGAAAAAUCAUUGUGAGAGUAACAAGGAGGAGAUAUGGUGGCAGAGGCUCUGGCAAACUGCCCUUGCAUCUUGGGUGGAAGGUUGUGGAGUUGGAUCAAAAGGCAGUUUACAACAGUGCAGGCAGAAGGCCAAAUUGCUAAGAUAUCUAAAGCAGUGUGCAACAAGGUGCAGGAGAAGAAUCCUUCACUAUUUUGGCCUUAGAACAGAACCUGAAGAGGAUGUGAAAGCUCUCUCCUUGGAGGUACCCAGAGCUUGACUGGAAAAGGUCCUCAGCAACCCAAUCAAACGUGAAGGCUUUCCAACAGAUAUUCUUGGAGAAAUCAGCCAUGCCUAGGUUUAUAAAAAUGAACAGAAACAGAAGGUAGCCGGGGGACAGUAUCAUUUACUCUGAUGGAGAGCCAGCUGUGUAUCUUUGCCAGGGAUCCCUGGACCUAGGUGUUACAGUGAUGGAAAGUUUGCAGAAGAAAAUGAUCCGGGAAAAAUACCAUGCAGAAAAAGCAGCAGCUCAGAUUGCAACAGCCAGUGUACUUUGUUGGCAUUGUGAAAUACAGCAUAACAAAACCUACAGCUCCGUGGAAGAUACCCUGCAACACCAGCCAUUUUCUGCCUAUCGCUGUGUCAUCUGAGCCAUCCUUAGUUCAUUUGCUCAUUGAUGUUAUUUUUCUCAGUGCCUGUGAAACCAGGAAUGGCAUGCAGUAUGCUUGGAAUUUGUCCAGGUUCCUGUUGAGAUAGUAGAAUGGAAAGAAAAUAAAAAGUACACUGACCCAAUUUACCCAACUAAAUGUAUUGGGCCAUGACAAGAAAUGAAAUGAACAUGUUUAUUGUUGAAUCAUUUUUCAGGUGAAGCGGCUUAGGACAAUAUAUUAUAAAUGGAGCUGGAGAUCAGGGACUAAAGACUUCUCAUCAGGGUGUCUAUUAACUUCAAAGGGUGCUUUAUGUUCCAUGCAUCAAAUAUUUAAAAGAAGAAGACUCUUAAAAAAAAAAUAAAAAUUCUACUUAAUUUCAUUUCACUGAAAGUUUACGUCCACUUUUUUUGUACCUGUUUCAAAUCAAAAAGAACACCAGUGAGUCUAUUUUUUCCUUUCCAUACCAGCUACCUACAUAUAGGAUUUAGGGAGUGUGUGGCCCUUGCUCUCAAGCAUGAGUAGAAAUACAUCUGGCUGCAUCUGAAAGUGCUAAGAAACACAACAGCACAAGGGUUUGUUUUUCAGAUGCAGAGUGGAGGAUGCACUUAAAACCAGAUAAUCAUCUAGACUGAACAGCCUGUGCUUAACUUUGGCUCCCCCACACCUGUGCCAUUCUUUGUACUAUGCCAGGUGAUGCCCUGUUCCAGCAGUGAGUGUGCCAAGGGGUUGGGUGCUCUAUUGUUGGAUCUGUAUCCCAAGAAGGACCAAACAAACCCUGUGAUCUCUG